UACGUAGGUGGCAAGCGUUGUCCGGAAUUACUGGGCGUAAAGAGCGCGUAGGCGGGUACUUAAGUCAGGGGUGAAAACUAUGGGCUCAACCCAUAGCCUGCCUCUGAAACUGGGUACCUUGAGGGUAUGAGAGGGAAGCGGAAUUCCUAGUGUAGCGGUGAAAUGCGUAGAUAUUAGGAGGAACACCAGUGGCGAAGGCGGCUUUCUGGCAUACAACUGACGCUGAGGCGCGAAAGCGUGGGGAGCAAACGGGAUUAGAUACCCCGGUAGUCCACGCCGUAAACGAUGGGUACUAGGUGUAGGAGGUAUCGACCCCUUCUGUGCCGUAGUUAACACAAUAAGUACCCCGCCUGGGGAGUACGGCCGCAAGGUUGAA
rnacentral:rRNA from 1 species